AUGUCGAAGCGGCCGGGCGCGACCAAGAAGAGGCUGAAGCGCGGCCUCUGGUCGCCGGAGGACGACGAGAAGCUCAUGAACCACGUUGCCCAGUACGGCUACGGCUGCUGGAGCUCUAUCGCCAAGAUUGCAGGCCUUGAGAGGUGCGGGAAGAGCUGCAGGCUGAGGUGGAUGCACUACCUGACGCCGGACCGAGGGGGGCCCUUCUCGCAGGGGGAGGAGGACCUCAUCAUCCACCUCCACUCCAUCCGGGGCAACAAGUGGUCUCAGAUCGCCGCGCAGCUGCCCGGGCGCACCGACAACGAGGUCAAGAACUUCUGGAACACCAUCAUCAAGAAGAAGCUCCGCCAGCGCCGCAUCGACCCUGCCAUCCACAAGCCGCUCGCUCACGCCGGCGCUGCCGCUGCCGCCACGCCCGUCACCCGCACUGCCGUAUUCAGCGAGGCCGAGCUGAUACUGUCGUCGCCCGUGGGGACGCAGCCCAUGCCGCCCCUGGUAUCGGCGGAGAGCUACGUGUACAGCCGGGGCAGCAUGGACGGCGCUGGCGGUGCGCACGCCGCGUUGGGCGGGUGCAGCGAUGACGGCUCCCUGUCGUCGCUGUCGGGGUACAACAACAACCAGAAGGCGGACUUCCCCGGGUACCUGGACGCGGACGCGCUGCACGGCGCGGUGAUCCCGUCGGUGUGGAGCUCCAGAACGCUGAACUGGUGGCGGGCGUGA
rnacentral:rRNA from 1 species